rnacentral:rRNA from 1 species
GACGAACGCUGGCGGCGUGCUUAACACAUGCAAGUCGAACGGAAAGGCCCUGCUUUUGUGGGGUGCUCGAGUGGCGAACGGGUGAGUAACACGUGAGUAACCUGCACUUGACUUUGGGAUAACUUCAGGAAACUGGGGCUCAUAUCGGAUAGGAGCUCCUGCUGCAUGGUGGUGGUUGGAAAGUUUCGGCGGUUGGGGAUGGACUCGCGGCUUAUCAGCUUGUUGGUGGGGUAGUGGCUUACCAAGGCUUUGACGGGUAGCCGGCCUGAGAGGGUGACCGGCCACAUUGGGACUGAGAUACGGCCCAGACUCCUACGGGAGGCAGCAGUGGGGAAUAUUGCACAAUGGGCGGAAGCCUGAUGCAGCAACGCCGCGUGCGGGAUGACGGCCUUCGGGUUGUAAACCGCUUUCGCCUGUGACGAAGCGUGAGUGACGGUAAUGGGUAAAGAAGCACCGGCUAACUACGUG